rnacentral:tRNA from 1 species
GCCUGGGUGGCAUAGUGGUUAAGCGUCUGCCUUUGGCUCAGGGCGUGAUCCCGGUGUUGUGGGAUCGAGCCCCACCUCGGGCU